GAUGAACGCUGGCGGCGUGCCUAAUACAUGCAAGUCGAGCGAACAGACGCGGCGCUUGCUCCUUUGACGUUAGCCGCGGGCGUGUGAGUAACGCGUGGGUCACCUACCUGUAAGUCUGGGAUCACUUCGGGACACCGGAGCUAAUCCCGGAUAAUCUUUCGAACCGCAUGGUUCGAUAGUGAAAGAUGGCUUUGCUGUCACUUAUCGAUGCACCUGGGCCGUAUUAGCUAGUUGGUACGGUAACAGCUUACCAAGGCUACGAUACGUAAACGAACUGAGAGGGUGAUCGGCCACACUGGAACUGAGACACGGUCCAGACUCCUACGGGAGGCAGCAGUAGGGAAUCUUCGGCAAUGGGCGAAAGCAUGACGGAGUAACGCCGCGUGAGUGAUGAAGGCCUUCGGAUCGUAAAACGCGGUUAUGAGGGAAGAACAAACGUCUAAUGAAACGUGGCGGUCGUGACGGUACCUGAUCAGAAAGCACCGGCUAACUACGUG
rnacentral:rRNA from 1 species